UACAGAGGGUGCGAGCGUUAAUCGGAAUUACUGGGCGUAAAGCGUGCGUAGACGGUUAUUUAAGUCGGGUGUGAAAGCCCCGGGCUCAACCUGGGAAUUGCAUUCGAGACUGAAUAGCUAGGGUACGGUAGAGGGAAGCGGAAUUUCCGGUGUAGCGGUGAAAUGCGUAGAUAUCGGAAGGAACAUCAGUGGCGAAAGCGGCUUCCUGGACCAGUACCGACGUCAGGCACGAAAGCGUGGGGAGCAAACAG
rnacentral:rRNA from 1 species